AGGAAAAGAAACCAACAGGGAUUCCCUUAGUAAGUGAGACUGAACCGGGAUGAGCCCAGCGCGUAACUUUGCGCCGUCAGGCAGAGAUGUCGGGCGGGUCUGCAAGGGGUGUCGCGUUUCGGAGGGCCCCAGGCCGUCGGUUGUCGCUGCCUAAGUCUUGCUUGAACGCAGCCAAUGCCCAGGGAGGGUGCUAGGCCCGUAUGGCAGUUUUAGUAGUCCCAGGACGAAAGAGAACCGACGGAAGGGGCCUCUCUGUAGAGUCGGGUUGCUUGGCAUUGCAGCCCAAAGAAGGUGGUAAACUCCAUCUAAGGCUAAAUAUGACCACGAGACCGAUAGCGAACA
rnacentral:rRNA from 1 species